rnacentral:rRNA from 1 species
GCUCAGGAUGAACGCUAGCUACAGGCUUAACACAUGCAAGUCGAGGGGUAGCAGGGUAGCAAUACCGCUGACGACCGGCGCACGGGUGAGUAACACGUAUCCAACCUUCCCAUAACUCGGGGAUAGCCUUUCGAAAGAAAGAUUAAUACCCGAUAGUACUUAAGAAAGGCAUCUUUUUUAAGUUAAAGAUUUAUUGGUUAUGGAUGGGGAUGCGUUCCAUUAGAUAGUUGGUGAGGUAACGGCUCACCAAGUCUUCGAUGGAUAGGGGUUCUGAGAGGAAGGUCCCCCACAUUGGUACUGAGACACGGACCAAACUCCUACGGGAGGCAGCAGUGAGGAAUAUUG